rnacentral:rRNA from 1 species
GCAAGUCGAGCGGUAGCACAGAGAAGCUUGCUUCUUGGGUGACGAGCGGCGGACGGGUGUGUAACGCGUGGGAAUCUACCUGGUAGUGGGGGACAACAGUCGGAAACGACUGCUAAUACCGCAUACGCCCUUCGGGGGAAAGUGGGGGAUCUUCGGACCUCACGCUAUCAGAUGAGCCCGCGUCGGAUUAGCUUGUUGGUGAGGUAAAGGCUCACCAAGGCGAUGAUCCGUAGCUGGUCUGAGAGGAUGACCAGCCACACUGGGACUGAGACACGGCCCAGACUCCUACGGGAGGCAGCAGUGGGGAAUAUUGGACAAUGGGGGCAACCCUGAUCCAGCCAUGCCGCGUGUGUGAAGAAGGCCUUCGGGUUGUAAAGCACUUUCAGCUGUGAGGGAAGGCGAGUGGUUAAUACCCGCUUGCUGUGACGUUAACAGCAGAAGAAGGACCGGCUAACUCCGUGCCAGCAGCCGCGGUAAUACGGAGGGUCCGAGCGUUAAUCGGAAUUACUGGGCGUAAAGCGCGCGUAGGUGGUUCAGUCAGUCAGAUGUGAAAGCCCCGGGCUCAACCUGGGAACUGCACCUGAUACUGCUGAGCUAGAGUACGGUAGAGGGUAGUGGAAUUUCCGGUGUAGCGGUGAAAUGCGUAGAGAUCGGAAGGAACACCAGUGGCGAAGGCGACUACCUGGACCGAUACUGACACUGAGGUGCGAAAGCGUGGGUAGCAAACAGGAUUAGAUACCCUGGUAGUCCACGCCGUAAACGAUGUCAACUAGCCGUUGGGGGACUUGAUCCUUUAGUGUCGAAGCUAACGCGAUUAGUUGACUGCCUGGGCAGUACGGCCGCAAGGUUACUACUCAAAUGAAUUGACGGAA